rnacentral:rRNA from 1 species
CCCUUAGAUGCUCUGGGCCGCACGCGCGCUACACUGGUCGAUGCAACGAGUUUCUUUCCUUGGCCGACAGGCCUGGGCAAUCUUUGAACAUCGAUCGUGAUCGGGAUAGAUUCUUGUAAUUUUUGAUCUUAAACGAGGAAUUCCUAGUAAGCGCAAGUCAUCAGCUUGCAUUGAUUACGUCCCUGCCCUUUGUACACACCGCCCGUCGCACCUACCGAUUGAAUGGUCCGGUGAAAUCUCCGGACUGGCGUGAGUCGGAGCAAUCUGACAAACACCGGAAAGUUGAUUAAACCUUACCAUUUAGAGGAAGGUGAAGUCGUAACA